rnacentral:rRNA from 1 species
UACGUAGGGGGCUAGCGUUGUCCGGAAUCAUUGGGCGUAAAGAGCGUGUAGGCGGUCCGGUAAGUCCGCUGUGAAAGUCGGGGGCUCAACCCUCGAAAGCCGGUGGAUACUGUCGGGCUCGAGUCCGGAAGAGGCGAGUGGAAUUCCUGGUGUAGCGGUGGAAUGCGCAGAUAUCAGGAGGAACACCGAUAGCGAAGGCAGCUCGCUGGGACGGUACUGACGCUGAGACGCGAAAGCGUGGGGAGCGAACAGG